GAGAGAGCUCCAGGUGUCCGGAGAGGAGGACAUCCGUCAAGGAGGGGAGUCUAGCCUGGCAUCCGUAGAUUAGCCCCUGCUGUGUGGCCUAGGGCCACCCGAUUUCCUCCUCUAAGAUCUUUUGCCUCAUCUGCCAGGUGGGGGUUAGGAGAGGACAUUCCUGAGGCCACCACCUCGGGAUGUGAAUGUCACUUGCAUGUUUCCUUGCUCUAGGACAAGCCCCUGCUUUAGUCUCCAAGCUCUCCAUGGCACUUGCAGGGGUCCUGCCUAACGGGGUUCACUAGGUAUGAAGAAGGCAGACCAGCCCAGUAUUGGGCAAAUGCCUCACUCAGGAGCUACAAUAUCAUGCUCCAGACUGGAGAAGCUCGGGGCGUCCAGGUGGAAGAAGGACAUCUGUGCCCAGGCUAGCACUAGGGGAGGUGAGCCAGGCCGAGAGUGGAAGGCAGAGAGCCCAGGACACUCCGAGCAGCCACGGGCAGCAGGCAGGGCUGCAGUCUUGGCAUGAAGCCUACCCUGGGCUGGUCCUCCAGCUCCCUGAGUGGCUGCCCAAGUGGGAACAAUGACCCUUUCACGUCACGCCUCCUCAGUCACAGCAACUUUGGCGCCGCAGGACAAAGGGGCCGUUUCAUCAUUGUUGGAUUGGAUCAACAGCCCGCCCGCCUGAGCCCUGCUGCCCCCACACAGCCCGGGCCUGGAAGAGAGGCCGGCGGCCCCACCUGGCCAGACCCAGGACCUUCUCUUCUCCUGGUCCAGCUGAUUGUCCCAGAGACCCCCUCACUUUCCUUGCCAUCCCCUCCUGGCUCACCUGGCAGCUCUAAUGAUGCUAGGCUCUGCUCCUGACCGUGGUCUCCACAGGUGUGUGGCGUGUUCUGCGUCUCAAAUGAAGACACUCACAAGCCCAGACUCAUCUUGUCAGGAUGGGGUGACAGGGUGAGGAAGUGCUGCUUGAGGGGCAAGAAUGGAGGAAGGCCUGUCCUGGGUACUGGCACAGGAAGGUGACAGGGAGCAAGCCUCCCCUCUGGCCUGGAGACUCCAAGCCCGGUUCCAACCUUGACUGCUCCUCCCAAAACCUGCAGGCGAGUAUCCAGGAAAAGCCUCAGAGAAAGCCCACAGCAGUCUCCUCGUGGUGUGGAUUCCUUCCUCAUCCUCUAGUCAGCGUCGGUGCGGGCACCAGAAACCUGAGGGGCCCCCUAGACUCCAGCUGCUGAAAUUCUAGCCUAGACCUCAUCAAGGCCAGGGAGACAGGGAGAAGAUAGACAGGGUCUGGAAAGAGGGAGGUGGCGGGGAGACCAGCCUUGGCAGAGCCGAGGGUGGACCCACCUGGGGCUGCACCUCAGGCUUUCAGAGUUGCCCUGGACAAGCCAGCAGAGAGCCUCUGGGGAGUGACUCAUGUCUCCUUCUCAGAGUGCUCUGUGGCAGGCUGGAAUUCUCUCAAACUAAGAUGUGCAGACCUGAGUUGACCCUGGCGUGCUGGUACCAUGAAGGUGGUGAAGUGGGGCCUCCUCUGGUCCCCACAGGGUCCAGUAGUCCCUGUUCUGGGCCUGUCCUGGAGGCCCUCUCCACUUAGACCCAGUCAAACCUGAUGCUCUGGGUGAAUAGCCUUAGGCAAGCCAGCUUCCACAUCUAUUGUCUAAGGAAGACAGUGCUGAGCGCUGCAGAGGUGAGAAGGGCCUGGCUGGGCUAAGCAGUGCUUGGGGCUGUCUCCUUGGUCUGGGUGGUACCUGUGGACCUUCCCUGCAGUGUGCCAUCGUGUUGCCCCAUUUAGCAGAUGGAGAAACUGAGCCUGGCACAAUGUUGGGUCUGGCCCUGGGCCACAGGAAUCCUGUGCCAGAAGCUGUCUAACUUCUCUCACCUUAGUUACCAGGGCCGUAGGCAGGUGCUGGCCAGGGGAGAGAUGGAGGUGCAUCGGGCCACGACAUGCCCUGGAAGGCCACGUCUGUGCCGCAGCAGCCCUGCCCCUGGGUCUCCAUCCACCUUUUCAUCCCUCUCCGUCCUCUGGUGCCACUGCUCUGGCAUCCUCCCACACCGUGACCAGGCACAGGUCUGCUAAUGAAGGACGGGGCCCCAAGGCCCGUGGCUCAUCUGUCCGUCCUGUCCAUGUUCAGCCCAAGCCAGGCUGGAAGUACAACUGAAGUGAGUCUGAAACCACCUGCCCCCAAACAGAUGCCAUGUGGGACUCUGGGAAGGGAGUGGUCACCAUAUGUGACCAAGGCAGCAAGUCGGAGGUGACAGGGAGGUAGAUGCAAGCAGGGGAAAGGAACACAGAAGGAAGAAGAGGCUACUGCAGCUACAGAGCCAAAGCCCCCAGGCUGCUGCUGCCUGGCCCAGGACUACACCUGGUACCAAGGCCCAGUCACUCUCCUGUGCCCACAGAGUCUCCCCGUAAAGGUCCAUGUGUGUGUGCAGGCAUAUGAGGGUAUGCAGAGGGAGGCCCUUGGACUCAGCUAUGCGCCCCCAGCAUGUGGACAGCUAGUUGUCCCCUGUGAUUCCAGUGGCACCACAGGUUUUGUCCCCACAGUGCGUGUGUUACACAGGUGGGACUGAUCAGUGGCUGCAGCGCUCUCCCUGCUGGGAUAGGCUGGGACCGCUCUUUGUGCCACCUGCCAGGUGCUCCCAUUUGGGGUCCUGUGGCAAGCCUCACAGGUCUCCCAGCAUCCUCUAUGAGGAUCCUUUUGGUGCUGAGUCUUUUGCCAGGGGAAGGCUUAUGAGUGAGACAAAUUCAGAGUGUCUCCAUCCCUGUGAGGGUAGGCACUGGGCACGAGAAUUCAAGAUGUCCUGUGACACUGGGCAAGGGGGUAAUCUCUCUGCUUUUGAUUUUUGUUUUUUGAGACACUGUAAUUCAGGCUGGCCUUGAACUCACUAUGCAGCCCAGCCUGGCCUCAAACUCAGAGCCAUCUUCCUGCUUCAGCCUCCCAGGUGCUGGAUUACAGGCUCGCACCACUACACCUAGCUAUCUCUGGAUCUUAGCUUCUCAGCUGCACCGUGAAGAUUAUAAACUGUGCAAACCUCACAGCGUUGUGAGGAGUAAUUAGAUGGCAGCAGGCUGGGACGCUGAGCUUGCCGGUCUGGGAUAGUGCCGGAUCAGAAGGGUUUCUUUUGCUUACAGUAUUAUUGUCAUCUGCCUGGUCUGUCCUCUGAGACUCUGGAACUGCCCAGUCCAGGUGCCGGCAGCCAGCAAUGCCUCCACCCACCUGUAAAACAAUUGGCGAGGGUGGGACUUUUUAAGAAGGGUACCUGGGCCUGGUGUUGGGUUUUCGGGGUAGCCAGGUACGCGUGCCCUGAGGUUUGGAGCCUGGCACCUGCCUUCUGCACCCUUGUGUUCCAAAGAACUCGACCUCAUGGGGGCAAGGAGUCCCUGACCAGAUUUCAGAAAACAUUGGUCCAGGUGUCAGAGUCUCCUGGGGUGCUGGUGUGGGAGAGCUGUCCCCUGUCUAACAGCCCCUGCGCGUUCCUUUCUGCAUGAUGUUCUGUUGAUAGGCCCUAGGAUAGCCUCCUUUUGAGAUCCAGGACCUGUCCCUUCCCAGUGCGGCUCAGGAUAAAGAAGAUCCAGAAGCUGGUCAUGGGGGCAGGCACCUGUAAUCCCAGCAGUCUGGGAGGUUGAGACAGAAGCGUUGAAAUUCAAGCUCACUCUGGGCAACUCUGUGAGAGGCUGUCUCCAAAUUAAAAAGGAAAAAGUAGUUGGAGCUUUAGCUCAUUGUGAGAGCCCUGGGCUCAAGCCCCUGUACCACCAUUACUAAAAAAGAUGAGAGAGAGAGGGACAGACAGACAGACAGACAGACAGAGAGAAAGACAGAGAGACAGAGAGAGAACCAGAACUUCCUGAAAAGUGGUCACGUGCCAGCAGGCAUGGUAGUUCCUGCAGCCCUUGGGGAGGCUGAGGCAGAAAGAUUCUGCAAAUUCAAGGACAGCCUGAACUACAUAACAAAGCCUGUUUCAAAAAAAAGAAAAGAAAAGAAAAGAAAAAAAGAAAGAAGAAAGAAAAAGAAAGGAGACAGAGAGAGUCAGAGGGAGAGAGAGCGUGCCAGAGACCAGGGGUAGAAAGGCUCCAGGCCCCUUACAGUUCUUGCAGGACUCUCAUUGCCAGAUGGACGACAAAUGAAUUCCAAGGCUCCUGGGGUAGGAAAUACUUCCCAGAAAAGCUCCCUGCUGGUUCUGGGUCAGGUUCACUGCCUUGAAUGUUGGGUAGAGAGUCCGUGCUUGAGGAUGACCAGGAGUCCCUUGGCCUGGCCUGCUCCAAAGCCCGAACCACCAAAGUCUCUGCCCUGUGUCCAUAAUGCACAAGGCUCCUGACCCAGGUAAGGGUCUCCCUGCCUUUUCCCCUCCUCUUCCUCCCUCCAUUCUAGGCCUGGACUCUACUUCUCAGCUCCCAGAGGGAGUGCUGUCAUUUUCCAUGGGUUCCUCAUGAAGCUCCAGCACAUCUGGCAGUCCUGGCAGGAGGCUGGCUAGACUCACACUCGGGGUUCUGAGUGUGGGCCCGAUCCGCUCCAGGGGCUUGCGCUGAGGCUUAAGUUCAUGGGUUUGCUCACUACUGAGAUAUCCAUUCAGUCACUUUCCAGGGACAUGGCAUUGGGCUGGUGACCACACCUCUCUGGACAUAGUCUCCAACUGGAAAACGAGGACAAAGCCUUGUCCACAGGACAGGAGGCGGAGCACAGCAGUCACUCACAGGUGGCACAGGGGAUACCCACAGUGAGUUCCCAGUAACCCUGUACCAUGGAGGUGCUCACCGCACUUUCCUGGGCCAGGGAUAGGACCCUGUGUUUGCUUCUUCUGCUCAGGGCAGCCCAAAGCCAGCUCUCUAGGCCUCAGUUUCUCUGUCUGUAGAUAGGUGAAGCAGAAUCUCAGGUGUCCUGUCAUGACACAGAGUACUAAGAACAAGCAUGUCCAUGCCUACCACAGCUUUAGCAACCUGUUCACAGAUAGCCUUGUGCGUCUGUGGCCUGCAGGUGUGGAGUCUAGGUGGCCCAAGGUAGGGAUGUGACUGCCUCCUUCCCUGCCCCUCGGGUGACUGCAGUUAUCUCCUCCAGACAGCUCCUUCCCCCAACCUUGCCCUCUGGCUACUGCUUAUCUCCCUGAUAAACAUCCCAGUGUCCAAGGAAAGGUCUGUCUGUGCCCUUCAGGGCCCUCCCUGCCUGGACUGGACUCAUCAGCACAGCCCCUGAGGAUCCUGGGCCUUUGACUCCAAGGAUGCCUGGUAGGGAAAAGGCUUAACCCCCAGGGAGGCUGGCUGUCCUGCUGCUGGUCACCUUCCUGUUAAAGGCGGUAGGGGAUCUGAUCUGAAGAGGGAGGCAAGGUCUUGCCUUGGAGAUUCUAAGGGAAGGUGAGUCCCAGAUUCCUCCAGAGGGCCCCAUGCCCUGCACCCCACCCCUAUCCCAGUUCACGCAUUACACAGCCUUUGGCCAUCAGGACACUGAGCUAUGACCUGUAGCAGAGAAGGUCUGCUCUGAAUCAUGAGCUGUAUGUGGCUUUUAGCCACAAAUUGGGGCCUGGAUCCCGUGGAUGAGGCCGUGGAACAGCGUGCAUAGAAGAGGAAUGCAAGAGCCAGUGGUUUCUUGAAUGCCAGCUCCAGACAGUGUGGACCAUUGACACAGGACCCCAACAGAGGGAUGGGCGCUCCAAGGGUCCUGCAGGACCGAGUCAGCUUGUGCCUCUCUGCAGAUAGAAGCAGUAUUCAGAAAGUGAACAGGCCACAAAAGAGCAAAUCUUCCCUUCCCUUCAGUCGAAGAGCUGAGGGCCAGGCCUACUUCUUUUCCCAGCUGCAGCCUGAUGCCCACGUUGGCAAAGGCAGUCUGUCUGUUUUUCUGUCUGUCCACAGCCUCAGUGCUCAGCCAUCCCCUGCAACAUAGUCACAAUGAAAAAAUACCUGUUAGCCAGAAAUCCUAGCUGUCUGGGAAGCUGAGGCAGGAGGUUUGCAGGUUUAAGCUCAGUCUGAGCAAUUUAGCAAUUUAGAGAGAUGCUGUCUCAAAAUAAAAAAAGAAAGGGGGUGGAGAGACUGGGGAUAUAGCUCAGUGCAAAAGCCUUGGAUUCAAUUCCCAGAAUGAGAAAGACAGAAAGAGAGAGAGAGAUCUGUUGAUGAAUGAAGCUUGGCUCCACCUGCUUGCAUACCUGAGUUCUCACCUGCAAAUAUUUUUUCAUUGAAAAAAAUUUCUCACUUAUUUUGUGCCAAAGUAACUCUCAAUACAUGUCCCUGCUGUCACUGAUCACUUUACAGCUGUCCCGGAACCAGCCAGUGCACUGAUGCUGGGGCUGGCUGGGAGCUGGUUACGUUUCACACCCAGCAACCACCUUUGCACCAUCACAGUGCACACACUGGCACUGUGAGCAGCCUGGUGUCCCGAACUUAGGCUCCUUAUUCAUAGAAAGAGCAGGGGUCUCUUUUCUUUCUUUCUUUUUACUUGCAUUCAGUGCUCAGCAUGUAUUUACUAAGCACACGCUCUGGGAUCAGCCUAUGGGUGAGGUGAUGGGACAUAGCAGCAACCAAGAAAAUCUCAGCCCCCUCUCAGUAGCACAGGCAGAUAUCAAUCAAGAAAGCACAUCCUGCGGCAUAAGUACCUGCCUUGCAAGCAGGCAGUCAUGAGUUCGAUCCCCGGAAAAAAAAAAAAAAAAAAAAGAAAGAAAGCACAUCCUGGACGAUCUAAUUAUGUAUUCCGGGGUGCUCUGAGGAGGAGAGGGGGCCGGAGCAGGCAGGCACCAGAGCAUCUGUCAGAGCCACGGGCCCUUGCCCAGCAAAGCCAUGAGUAUCAGGAGGACAGGAGACAGAACACAUUCCAGGUAGCAAGAAAAACCUGGGCAAAGGCCAGACGGCCAGAAGGACCCUUAAAAUCUGAGAGCUCUUGGUGCAGUUAAAGUGGGAGAGGAGCUGAGAGCUCCCAGGCAGAGGCAGGAAGGAGGGUGGAAGUGAACAGCGCACAAGCCACAGUUCAUGAAGAAGACGCAGGAGGUCAGGGGUGAGUCUGAGCAGUCCCAAUCUGGCUGCCAGAUACCAGAUGGAUUCUGAAGGAUUUUGAUCCCAAAGUCUGGAGCUGAUUUUUCGAGUAUGUCCAGGGUUAUGGGUUUUUCAUUUGUUCUGUUGUCUCCCCCAUGCCUAUCCAAACCUCAUGCUCCUAAGGGCAGAGGUUAGGUCUGUAUCAAAUUUAUUUCUGAGGGCCCAGUAUCCACACUAUAGGAUGAGACCCAGGUCAGAAGCCAAGCAAAUGCAUGCUGUGUGGGGUGCCCUACUGUCUGUCUAUGCCUGUGAAGCUGUCUGUUUGGACCUGUCAAUACCUGUGCGCUUGUGUCCUCGGCUUGGUCAGGCCUGACUCUGCCCUGUCAGGAGGACAUCAGGAUGUAAGUCAGGCAUGCAGGAAGCAGACUGUGCUGCCUGCCAGCUGGGGAGGCUAUGGUCUGGAACCCCCACCUCAUCCUAUCCCGCCCUCAACCAUCAUGGACACAGCUGCCAGCUCCAUGCACUUAGGACAGAUCAGCCCAGCAUUCGGAGGUCCUGUCCACAGAAUCACCUCCACCCAGCCUCAGCUUGGGCAAAGGAAAUGAAGCCAGAAAGUUGAGGGUGGAGCUGGGGACAGUUUGGAUACAGACACCCAUGAGUGGGAACUAGAGGAUAGCAGCCCUGACUCAGGGAAGGAUGGCCCAAGCUGCUCCUGGGCUUCCCGCAGGCAGCCAGGGAAGCAAUAAGCUCUGUGUCGGGGGAGGUCUGCAAGUGAUAUGAGCUCCCAUCUUCUGCUCCCCCAGCAGGUACCCUGUGCUCUGUUGCAGCUCUAACAGCCUCUCCCUCCUGCCCUUGGAGCUGGUCACUGGCUAUAUGCUGCUGGGAGGUCCCCACCCUCUCUAUCCCUGCCCUGCCUCCCGAGACAAAGAAGGAGGCUAACUCAGGGUGGUUGUUUCCUUACCUUUUCAGCACUCAGCACCACACAGUAAUUGCAGGUAUUCUCAACAUUUAGAAUAACCAUCUUAUAAAAUAAAAACAGUUAAAGUCUCUAACCAAUUAGUAAAAAUGCAGAAGAUACUUUAAUUUCAGAAAAUCUAAGUAUUUCUUUCUUUUUUUUUUUUAAAUCUAAGUAUUUCUCCAGAGGUCUGAGGUCCAUGGUCAGAAUGGGAGAUCCCACACCCUUCCCUGCUGACACACACACACACCACACACACACACGCCUCUCACUCCUCUGGUCCUGUCCGGAGGAAAUCCAAUGCAAUGCUGCCACAUAGCUGGCCAAAAGGUCCUCUGAUCUGGGUGGACCAGUGCUUCUGCCCACUUCUUGCUGCUGUGACAGGUCUCACUCUCCGCUCCUGGGAUCUGUACUCUGUGCUCUUCCUAGAAUCAUCUUCUCCUCUCUCUGCCUAGGUAAGGGCACCUUCAUCCUUUGGUCUCAGUGCAUUUGCCUCUUCCUCCAGGAAACCUUCCCUAACCUCACCAGGUCUUCUCAAAGCCACCAUUUACUCCCUGACAGAGCCUGCUCAUUCUAUCCUGUCCCUGCCUGUCUCUGUGACUGCCACCUCCAUUGCCACUCAGUCUAGAGGCUCAGCGCACUGUCUGGCCCAGAGAACAUACUCACAAAGUGUUUGUUGAAUGAAUGAAUAAAUAAAUAAAUAAAUGCCUUCAAACUCA